UUUUAAGGAAGAAUAAGAAUAGGGGAGAGAGUGAAGGAGAUGAACGAUCAAUCUUGUACUUCCUUCGUUCUUCUUUUAUCGCAUCACUUACUAGUUUAGGAAGUUUCCUAUUUAUUGCAUCAAUUCCUUUUUUGGCAAAUUUUUCCUUGUACAACGACUAUUUUACCCUUAUUAGUAUAACAUAAUGAGCCCACUUAUUAUUUAUAAUCAUAACUUAAAUCAAUCAACACAAUUCAUAAUCAUAAUUUAUAAUCAUAACUUAAAUCAAUCAAUCAAAACUACAUUUACAAAACAGAAAAUUAUCCCUUAAAAAAAAAGAAAAAGAAAAAAAAAGAAAGAAAAAUAAUUACCAAAACCUGGCGAUAUUCCCCUUAUUCUUAUCAUCUUCAUAUUCUGUAAAACCAUUCCCAUUUACAGAUCUAGGGUUUUCAAAGUGAAAAAAAUCAAUCCUUCCCCAAAAUCGUUAACCGAAUCGACCUAUUAAUAUGAAAUCCCGUGCGCCGGUAAUUUAUUCAUGCCGAUCUUUAGUGUUCUACUGAAUGUUUGAGUUAAAUUGAGAGGAAAACAACAUUUUAAUGAGAUAAAUUGAAAGAGAUGAUAAUGAAAAGGACGAUGAUGUUCUUCUUGAAGACCAACCGGUAUGUAAUUUCUCAAUUUGAAUCUUCUUCUUUUAAAGCCUCCACGAUCUAUCCACCAACAUCAGUUUUUCAGAUUUGUUACCCAUAUUAUCCUAAGAUUUUGAAUUAUUUUUUUCAGAUCUAGUACGUUCUGGAGUUUAUAUGUGACUGCGGUAAAGUUUCUGGGGUGAAUUUUCUGGGGUCACUAGUACAAAAUUGGGCUUAAGUAACACCCCUUGGUAACACUUUAAAAAUUUCAUGAUUGUUUGAUUUUUAGGUAACACUUUUGUAACAUUGUGGUAUUAGGUAACAUUUUUGGUAGCACUUUAAUAUUAUGUAACAAUUUGAUAUUAGGUAGCACUUGGUUGUAACACUUAAUUUGAUAUGAACAAUUUUUUUUUUUUUUUCAUCCAAUAUUUUUUUUAUAGAAAAUAUAAAAAAAAUACACCCUUCGUCUUGUCAAAAGAUCGACCCUAAUAACCUCACUGUUGGCUGUCUGCCAACUUUCUUCCUCCCCCAAGAUUUCCUCGGCUUCCACCGCUGUCCCCAUCUCGCUCCAGCUGCUCCACUAUAGCCCUGUCCAUUGCAGCCUCCCUCCAUCGCAACUCGUGCUCCAACUUGAAGAAGUACCCAACAGCCCCGUGCUCCAAGUUAAAGGGACAACGAUUGCCACCCCCAAAGACAGCAGUUGCCACCUCCUUGCCUCCAUCUUCGCUUGUCAACUUUCACCUUAAAGUUAGGCUUGUCGAGAAUCCAAAUAAUUGCGAGCGAAAGAGAUACAGAAAUCCAAAGCAAUGCCAGUUAUAAUUGGAGACUUGGUGUUUCACAUACAAACUACUGCUGUGUGCUAUUCCUGCUACUGCCCAAACCACCACUCCCGGCAAAGUGGAGAAUAGGUGGUCGAAAGGGAACCACCUUCUUCAUUUGUUAGAUCUCAAAUCGCCCCUGCUAAUCAACCUCACUAGCAAAUUUCAGUCUCUAUGAGCUAGUUUGAUACGACGAUUUCAUUAAUUGAAGACAAAGGUACUCGUAAAUCUUCAAGCAAUUAGUAGAAGAUUGAGAGAAACUUGAUUCCAUUAGUUUUAUUUCCUUAGAGCUGUUGUGCAGUUUUUUUCUUUUUAAUUGUAUAUAGUAAUAGUGUAAUGGAGUACUACUAAGUUUUGAUUUAUUUGGUUUUUUCUUGAAUUUGACUUCACCUUUAUCAAUUAAAGAUUGAAUUUAGUUUUA